rnacentral:lncRNA from 1 species
UUUAUUUAUUCACAACUAAAAAAUAUUUUAUUAUUUUUUACUAUUUUCUAUUAUUUUAUUACAAAUUAUAAAUUUAUUUGACUAUUAAAAGUUAUAGAAUAACUAAACUAAAAAACACUAGAAUACGACGAACAAUCUAAACCUAACUCCGCAUCACAAAGAAAAUGCAAAAUACUAUAGUACCACUAACUCAAUAAAGGUCUAGAACACAAAUAAACGCGAUCAAGCACCUAUCCAAAAAUCCAAAAAAAAAACAGAUUAAAGGAAGAAUAAUCAACGGAAGACCAAAGUCACCGCGAAACAGGAAAACACAUACCUAAAGCACAACCACCAGCUAAGAAGCACCUCACAAACAAAACAACCACAUACAAGGCGCUCAUGCCAAUGAAGAAUCACAAAGCUCUGAG